AUGGUAGAUGGGGAUCGGCGCUAGUUAAGCUUCAUUUGUUUAAAAGCAACAUUAAUCUAAGGAGAGGAUAUCAGAAUGCUUGUAGAAUCUCGCGCAUGUUAAUAGUUUCACCUUGCACCAUGAGAGAGCUUAAACCAUUAAAGCGUCAAAGGAGCUGUAAAUUCUACGGUUGCAAUUUCAAUUAAAGGGCAACUGAAUAGGCACGCGAUUAGGUCGAAAAACAUUUGUAAUAUAUU